UACAGAGGGUGCGAGCGUUAAUCGGAAUUACUGGGCGUAAAGCGUGCGUAGACGGUUACAUAAGUCGGGUGUGAAAGCCCCGGGCUCAACCUGGGAAUUGCAUUCGAGACUGCGUAGCUAGGGUGCGGAAGAGGGAAGCGGAAUUUCCGGUGUAGCGGUGAAAUGCGUAGAUAUCGGAAGGAACACCAGUGGCGAAAGCGGCUUCCUGGUCCAGCACCGACGUCAGGCACGAAAGCGUGGGGAGCAAACAGGG
rnacentral:rRNA from 1 species